rnacentral:rRNA from 1 species
CGGACGUGGAUAACCUGCCUCACACAGGGGAGUAACAGUUGGAAACGGCUGCUAAUACCGCAUAAGCGCACAGCACCGCAUGGUGCAGUGUGAAAAACUCCGGUGGUGUGAGAUGGAUCCGCGUCUGAUUAGCUUGUUGGCGGGGUAACGGCCCACCAAGGCGACGAUCAGUAGCCGGCCUGAGAGGGCGACCGGCCACAUUGGGACUGAGACACGGCCCAG